UGCCUACGGGAGGCAGCAGUGGGGGAUAUUGCACAAUGGGGGAAACCCUGAUGCAGCGACGCCGCGUGGGCGAAGAAGUAUUUCGGUAUGUAAAGCCCUAUCAGCAGGGAAGAAGAAAUGACGGUACCUGAGUAAGAAGCACCGGCUAAAUACGUGCCAGCAGCCGCGGUAAUACGUAGGGGGCAAGCGUUAUCCGGAUUUACUGGGUGUAAAGGGAGCGUAGACGGCCAGACAAGUCUGAAGUGAAAAUCCAGCGCUUAACGUUGGAAGUGCUUUGGAAACUGCCGGGCUAGAGUGC
rnacentral:rRNA from 1 species